rnacentral:tRNA from 1 species
GGGGACGUAGCUCAGUUGGUAGAGCGUUGCGUUCGCAAUGCAAAGGUCAGGGGUUCGAACCCCCUCGUCUCCACCA